GGCAUCUCACACUGGUUCCUUCCGAAACAGGAAAACAGAAAUGUAUGGAAAUCCAGAGACUGGCAGCAAAGGCACAGCAGACCAUGUAGGGAAGAUCCGACAAGCAGCCGUACACUCACUCGCAUGGAAGCUGCCCCGAAGGAAAUCAGGCACGGCCACAGCAGCCUCCUGCUCUGCAGUUCGGGCUGGCCUUGAACUCACUAUGGAGCCCAGGCCAGCCCUGAAUCUUGGCAAUCCUCCUGCCACAGGCUUUCGAGUGCAGGGAUUACAGGUAUACACCACCAUAUCCUGCUCCAAUUUUAUUGUUAGGAAUCCAUUUGCCAUUGAUGUGAGACCAGCACACGUCAUAUCCAAGGUUCAAGUGUGCAGCUGACUUCUUCAGGAGAGUAAGACCUUCCCGGGGCCCUGUGGACACAACUACCCAUGGAUACGACCUAGACCAGCAGAGGUUUGGUGUGGGGGCUGUCUGGGUUGUGAUCGCACUGCCCUGGUCAUUGAUCACACAGCUACACUCUGGAGCUUUCCUGGACCUGGAAGGAAACACAAGAACCCUCUCCUUUGACUCCAAUAUUUCAUAGAUCUAAAGAGGCCAAGUCACCUCUCUAAGCCACGGGGCUAAUUACUAGUCGUGGGACCAAAACAAGCCCUCCUGCCACCGCUCUGCUGCCCAGCACAGGUUCGGGAAGUGAGAAAUUUGGAUUCAACCAUAAGCCUGCUCUCUAUGAGACUUUCAGCUGGGUUCUGGGGUUCUAUGAAAAUCGUAUUUAUCCAAAGAGCACCAGGGCAAGGUGUUCCGCCAGGCUCGCCCUACUCUGUAGGCUGUCAGGUCAGGGACCAGAACUCUGGUACCUCAGUCAUCAUCUGUUUUUGUUUUUGUUUUUAAGAAUAUGAUGUGGGGUCUCUGCCACCUUCACAAGGCUGCUAAAGGGUGAGAGGGGCCAAUAAAGGGGAAAAGGCUUUUGAAAAGGCCACGUGACCCUUAUGAGAGCAGACCUUUGGAUCACAAGUCCUGGUCACAAACCUCAGCUUAGCUGUGUGUUGUCUGGGGAACCCCGGUCAGUGCGGUCUGGACAUGGGCAUGGAGCUUCGCUUCUGAUUAAAUCCGGGAUGGAAGCUGGGGCUCCACCACUCAGCAAUCCCCUCGGCUCUCAUUCACACGUGCGGAAGGCUUGUCAUCAACUUCGCCUGUAGAAUUCAAAGAAGAAAAAAAAUUCACACGUUUCAAAAAUCACUUCUCCAUUUAUUCAGCUUGUUUCCAAAACAGUGAGUUCCUCCAUUUAAUCCAAAUUAUAAAUCGUACAGUCCAGACAGAGAGAUGUGGUCCAAGAGCCACACAAAGGCCACCAGGAAGGCCUCGUGGCAGGUGUGCGCACACAUCUGGGGAACACACUAUUGCAUGCAGGUGUCCCCCACACAGGGGAGCGCGACACAUCAGGGCUCCUUUCCUUCAAUUUCUCCCCCACUUGCAAGGAAGAAGAGGGGUUGAAAAGCCAGGCUGACACACAGUGGCACCCAAAAAUUCAUAAAGUCCUUCACUAGAAAGCAAACCCGCAGGGUGGGAGUGAUCAAAAUAAAUUGUAUUGUCAUAAAGCAAUUAAGAGAAAAUUAGGCAAUCAUAAGGUGAUAAAAGCCUAUUAGUUAAAGGGCCUGAAAAACACAGCAGGUUGUAAAAAAUUAAAUUCUCACACACAGAAAAAAUGCAAAUAUACGCAAUUGUCUCUCCCUGGCAAACAAUCAAAUUACUGAUUUGUGUGAAGAGUUAAAAUAAAAGCCUUGAAAAACA